rnacentral:rRNA from 1 species
GAUGAACGCUGGCGGCGUGCCUAAUACAUGCAAGUCGAGCGAAUGGAUUAAGAGCUUGCUCUUAUGAAGUUAGCGGCGGACGGGUGAGUAACACGUGGGUAACCUGCCCAUAAGACUGGGAUAACUCCGGGAAACCGGGGCUAAUACCGGAUAACAUUUUGAACCGCAUGGUUCGAAAUUGAAAGGCGGCUUCGGCUGUCACUUAUGGAUGGACCCGCGUCGCGUUCGCUAGUUGGUGAGGUAGCGGCUCACCAAGGCAACGAUGCGUAGCCGACCGGAGAGGGAGAUCGGGCAGACUGGGACUGAGACACGGCCCAGACUCCUGCGGGAGGAAGCAGUAGGGAAUCGUCCACAGUGGACGAAAGUCUGACGGAGCAACGCCGCGUGAGUGAUGAAGGCUUUCGGGUCGUAAAACUCUGUUGUUAGGGAAGAACAAGUGCUAGUUGAAUAAGCUGGCACCUUGACGGUACCUAACCAGAAAGCCACGGCUAACUACGUGCCAGCCGCCGCCGUAA